rnacentral:lncRNA from 1 species
CGCCUUCUUCUGGCCAGGUUAUCCUCGUGAGGUUUUCUGACUCUCAUCAGCUCAGUUUCCCCAGCCCUGGUUGGUGAGCACAGCGGGAGAGAGAAAAUUAUACAACAGGCAGGUUUGCCGGGGCAGCUCUUCUUCCGUCUGUGUCCUUCAAUCCCCUGCACCACAGCUGCAGCCUUGUCACACAUACUGUGAGAUGUGGGUUGGGGCCAGAAACAAACACUGGCAGAUGGUGACACUUGGUCUCGGCUCUGAUGAUCUGCAAGAACCUCCAGUUGGAAGGACCAAUUACCACCCCAUCCCCUCAGGGAAGACCUAUCAGAUGUAUGUGGGCUUGUAAUAAUGAUUUGGAAGAAGCUGCUCUCUGAGCACAGCGAUCUGGGCAUGCUAGUCAGCAGGUUGUAAUUAGUUAAUUAAACGCCUGGGCUGACAGAAUGGCCCCAUGGGUCGCUGCCAUGCAGGCCGCUCCAGACAAGAGCAGGAAAUGCAGGAAUCUGCGGGGCCUUUCCCCAUAAAAUGUCACUGGAAGGCAGAGGAAGGACGAGGUGGGCAAUUCAUGUCUGAGGCUGCUGAAACAAAAAGGAGACACAGAAACAAGGCAUUCAUAAGGCCCCUGGCAUCCGCAGAUGCUGGGGUCAUGGCUGCUGUACGAAGGAGGCUAACACCGGAAGUAAGCGGUCUCUUGGAAGAGCCUGCAAAGGAGAGCCCAACUAAAGGAUGGUGGGCCACGGAGAGCUGGAGCCACGGGAUCUUGAGAUAACAUGGCAGUCCAUCCUGGGGUCGUGGCUGUUGUACGAAGGAGGCUAACACCGGAAGUAAGCGGUCUCUUGGAAGAGCCUGCAAAGGAGAGCCCAACUAAAGGAUGGUGGGCCACAGAGAGCUGGUGCCUGAAACUUUCCCUCGAGUCCUCAUUGGUCUGAGCGCACCUGUAUUCCAGCCUGUCCUGAGUAUAUCUCUCAGCCCACGCUCUGCCCACCUCUUUUCUUGUUUGCCUUCUCUGCUCCUUUUGUUCUUUGAGUAUUCCAAGACUAUGGGCUAAACACUUGCUUAUUGUCAUGUGUUAAUUCUCUUUAAGUGGACCUGGAACAUCUUUUCUGCAGUCUCCAAAUUGGAGCAAUUUUUGUUUUAAAAAUAAGUUUUAUUUAUCUAUUUUAUUUAUAUGAAUACACUGUCACUGUCUUCAGACACACCAGAAGAGGGCGUCGGAUCCCAUUACAGAUGUCUGUGAGCCACCAUGUGGUUGGUAGGAAUUGAAUUCAGGUCCUCUGGAAGAGCAGUCAGUGCUCUUAACUAGUGAGCCAUCUCUCUAACCCUUGGAGCAAUUUUUUAAUGGAUCCUCUAGGUUUUUCUAGAUUAAUCCUAUGACAUUCUUACCAAACUAUAGUAUAUAUUUUAUUAAUGACAAUUUUUGAAAAUUGCUGGGAGCCACAUAUUACUCUUAGAUUCUAAACAUGAGGGUUCAUUUGAUGGGGCCGCCUUCUCAAAGGAGCCUGAGGAUGCAAGGCCUGAGCUUCAGAGUGAGGACAGAGCUUUUCACCAGAGGCUUUAGAGGAAGUGAGGAUAACGGGAGCCAGUGAGUUGAGCCCCUAGAAGAUCACAAGGAGCUCUAGGCUCUAGUUCUUAAAGCUUUUUCUUGACCAGUGAUGAUAAAGAG